GUACUCGCUUUACCGGUACAUAUACUAUAAUUGGAACGAUAAUGCAGACAAGAUUAGCAUGGCCCCGUGUAAGGGUGACAUGCAAAUGGAGCUACAAUUUUAC
rnacentral:snRNA from 1 species